UGGACCCGACGGUGAAGCCUCGUUCCCCCCAAAAUAAGCCCGCGCACGCCCUGCUGCCUCCCAAAAUCCUGUUCGCCCGCCGGCGCCUCCGAGGAGGUCCCGCUCCGGCUGCCGGCCCUACUUGCGCCGGCCACCGUCCCGUGCAGAGGUGCCUCCCCCGCCCUGAGCACCUGACGCACCGCCAUCCCUGAGCCCCCGCACCGACCCGCGCCGUCGUCCCUGAGUCCCGGCGCCUCCCUCGACGUCAGCGCCACCCCCGCGAGGAGCUGCCACGCCGCCGUUGCGAGGAGCUGUCGUGCCUCCGUCGUGAGGAGGUCCGGCCUUCUACUCGCUCCUCCGCUCCUUGACGUGCCUGCAUCGUAAUGUAGAUCAAGGGCGAUUUUCAUGAUUCAAGCCUCGUCGUGGGAAACAAGCUGAGAUUAAUGCGGAGAAUGAUGGAGGGGCCUUUGGUAAUGGUGAGGGUGGAGAAGGGGAUGGAAGCCCUUCUGCAUACUUAAACCUCAAUGGCAUGAUGAGGUGCCAGCUCAGAAUGAGGAAGCUCAGAAUGAGGAAGAGACCACGGCGUCGGUUGCCUGUAGGCCCAAACAAGGUCGGAACGAUGCCCAAGGGUCGGUCUCUUAUUACCGAGCUUCAUGAAUUAGGUGAGCCCGUCGCUCCUGUCAAGAUGAUGGAGCUAAGUACACAUAAUCUAGGUGUAAUACAUAGAUCGUAUCGUUUAAACAUUAAAAUACAUUUGGUGUAUGGACUUUGUUCUUAUCAAACAUUACAAUAUCUUUGGUGUAUGGACUCUUUGUUUUAAUCUCAAUGUAUUGACUCUUCAUUUUAAUUUUGAUGUAUGGACUCUUUCGUUUAACCAUGAUGUAUGGACUUCCAUUUAAUCUUGAUGUACGAGCUGUUUAGUUGAA